AAUAGAUACCCGGGUAGUCCACGCCCUAAACUAUGUCAACUAGUUGUCGGGGAAGAAAUUCCUUGGUAACGCAGCUAACGCGUGAAGUUGACCGCCUGGGGAGUACGGCCGCAAGGUUAAAACUCAAAGGAAUUGACGGGGACCCGCACAAGCGGUGGAUUACGUGGAUUAAUUCGAUGCAACGCGAAAAACCUUACCUACCCUUGACAUGUACGGAAUUCCGCAGAGAUGUGGAAGUGCCCGAAAGGGAACCGUAACACAGGUGCUGCAUGGCUGUCGUCAGCUCGUGUCGUGAGAUGUUGGGUUAAGUCCCGCAACGAGCGCAACCCUUGCCAUUAGUUGCUACAUUCAGUUGGGCACUCUAAUGGGACCGCCGGUGACAAACCGGAGGAAGGUGGGGAUGACGUCAAGUCCUCAUGGCCCUUAUGGGUAGGGCUUCACACGUAAUACAAUGGUCGGUACAGAGGGCUGCCAACCCGCAAGGGGGAGCUAAUCCCAGAAAGCCGAUCGUAGUCCGGAUUGUAGUCUGCAACUCGACUGCAUGAAGCCGGAAUCG
rnacentral:rRNA from 1 species